rnacentral:rRNA from 1 species
AACUGGUUAAUCCCACGCUGCCAAGAAAAGCUUCUAGGUAGUUCACUAGGUGAUCGUACUGCAAACCGACACAGGUAGGCAGGGAGAGUAUCCCAAGGCGCUUGAGAGAACCCUGGUUAAGGAACUCGGCAAAAUGACACCGUAACUUCGGGAGAAGGUGUGCCCUCAUUAGGUGAAGGACUUCGCGUCCGGAGCCGAAGGGGGUUGCAGUGAAAUGGGGGUGGCGACUGUUUACUAAAAACACAGGACUCUGCAAAGCCGCAAGGCGAAGUAUAGGGUCUGACGCCUGCCCGGUGCCGGAACGUUAAGGGGAGGAGUCAUCUGGGUAACUGGAGAAGCUCUGAACCGAAGCGCCGGUAAACGGCGGCCGUAACAAUAACGGUCCUAAGGUAGCGAAAUUCCUUGUCGGGUAGGUUCCGACCUGCACGAAUGGCGUAACGAUCUCCCCACUGUCUCAACCAGGGACUCAGCGAAAUUGUAUUCGCGGUGAAGAUGCCGCGUUCCCGCAACUAGACGGAAAGACCCCGUGCACCUUUACUGCAGCUUGGCAUUGAAUUUUGGGCUAACUUGUGUAGGAUAGGUGGGAGGCUUUGAAGUCCGGACGCUAGUUCGGAUGGAGCCAACCUUGAAAUACCACCCUGGUUAGUUUAGAAUUCUAACUCAGGCCCGUUAUCCGGGUCGAGGACACUGCCUGGUGGGUAGUUUGACUGGGGCGGUCGCCUCCAAAGAAGUAACGGAGGCGCGCGAAGGUUCCCUCAGGCUGAUUGGAAACCAGCCGUAGAGUGUAAAGGCAUAAGGGAGCUUGACUGCGAGACAUACAAGUCGAGCAGGUACGAAAGUAGGCCUUAGUGAUCCGGCGGUUCUGUAUGGAAAGGCCGUCGCUCAACGGAUAAAAGGUACGCCGGGGAUAACAGGCUGAUCUCCCCCAAGAGUUCACAUCGACGGGGAGGUUUGGCACCUCGAUGUCGGCUCAUCGCAUCCUGGGGCUGAAGCAGGUCCCAAGGGUUUGGCUGUUCGCCAAUUAAAGCGGUACGUGAGCUGGGUUUAAAACGUCGUGAGACAGUUUGGUCCCUAUCUGUUGCGGGCGUUGGAGAUUUGAGAGGAGCUGUCCCUAGUACGAGAGGACCGGGAUGGACGAACCUCUGGUGUUCCAGUUGUGCCGCCAGGUGCAGCGCUGGGUAGCUAUGUUCGGACCGGAUAACCGCUGAAAGCAUCUAAGCGGGAAACCGACCUCAAGAUUAGAUCUCCCGGACUUCGGUCCCUAAAGGCCCCUCGGAGACCACGAGGUUGAUAGGCCAGGUGUAUAAGCACAGUAAUGUGUUCAGCUAACUGGUACUAAUAGGCCGUGAGGCUUGACCAU